UAGGGAAUAUUAGUAAUGGGCGAAAGCCUGAACUAGCAACGCCGCGUGUGCGAAGAAGGCCUUCGGGUUGUAAAGCACUUUUUGAGAGGAUGAGGAAGGACGGUACUCUCAGAAUAAGUCUCGGCUAACUACGUGCCAGCAGCCGCGGUAACACGUAGGAGGCAAACGUUAUCCGGAUUUACUGGGCGUAAAGCGCGUGUAGGUGGUUUGGUAAGUAGGGCGUGAAAGCUCCUGGCUCAACUGGGAGAGGACGUUCUAAACUGCCAAGCUUGAGGAUGGUAGA
rnacentral:rRNA from 1 species